AAUCAACGCUGGCGGCGUGCCUCAGACAUGCAAGUCGAACGCGAAAGGCUCCUUCGGGAGCCCGGUAGAGUGGCGCACGGGUGAGUAACACGUGGGUAAUUUACCUCGGGUGGGGAAGUAACAGCCGGAAACGGCUGCUAAUACCGCAUAAUGCAGCGGCACCACAUGGUGACAGUUGUUAAAGUGGGGGAGUCGCAAGACCUCACGCCUGAAGAGAAGCCCGCGGCGGAUUAGCAGUUGGCGGGGUAAUGGCCCACCAAGGCGUCGAUCCGUAGCCGGCCUGAGAGGGCGGUCGGCCACACUGACACUGAAUAACGGGUCAGACUCCUACGGGAGGCAGCAGUCGGGAAUUUUGGGCAAUGGGCGCAAGCCUGACCCAGCAACGCCGCGUGAAGG
rnacentral:rRNA from 1 species